rnacentral:rRNA from 1 species
CCUACGGGAGGCAGCAGUAAGGAAUAUUGGUCAAUGGGCGCAAGCCUGAACCAGCCAUGCCGCGUGCAGGAAGACGGCCCUAUGGGUUGUAAACUGCUUUUGAACAAGAGAAAACCUCGGUACGUGUACCGAGCUGAUAGUAUUGUUAGAAUAAGCAUCGGCUAACUUCGUGCCAGCAGCCGCGGUAAGACGAAGGAUGCAAGCGUUAUCCGGAUUCAUUGGGUUUAAAGGGUGCGUAGGCGGCCUGAUAAGUCAGUGGUGAAAUCUCUCAGCUUAACUGAGAAACUGCCAUUGAUACUGUCGGGCUUGAGUACAGAUGAUGUGGGCGGAAUAUGACAUGUAGUGGUGAAAUACUUAGAUAUGUCAUAGAACACCGAUUGCGAAGGCAGCUCACAAAACUGUAACUGACGCUGAGGCACGAAAGUGCGGGGAUCAAACAGGAUUAGAUACCCUGGUAGUCCGCACCGUAAACGAUGAUUACUCGUUGUUGGCAAUAUGACCGUCAGCGACCAAGCGAAAGCGAAUAAGUAAUUCCACCUGGGGAGUUACGCCGGCACGGUUGAACGUUCAAAUUGAAUUGACGG